CGUAGGGAGAGGUCCUGAGUUUAAGUCCCACACCACACAUCCCUCUCCCACCAGUGUGCUAACCCUGACUUUGUAAAGAACAGGGGUUUUCAUGGUGUGCUUCCUAGAAGUCAGUCCCUGGAUGAGCUUGUCUCCUGCAUAACCUUCCCGGUGCUUAAGGGCUUCGCUUACAGUUUCUGUGUGUGAGUGCUUCUCUGCUGUGUAUAUGUGUACCAGUGUGUGCUUGGCUCCCACACGUGUGGGAGAGGGAGGGCAUCUUAAAAUGACCUAACCUAUAAUUCAGUGCUCAGAGAACUGAGGUGGAAGAUCUCAAGUGCAGUCAGAUUGAGUCACGAAGUAAGGCCCUUACUUAAACAACUUGAAAAGUAGUUGGAGGGAGUAAAAUUUCCACUACAAAGGGGGAAUUCAAAUGAAGGGUGCAGACGGUUGUCUGGAUGUAUUCUUGUGCUCUAUAUGUGCUGCUCUGGUUUUUGGUUUUGUUUAGGUAAGAGCCUACCGUGUAUCCUUUGCUUGCCUGGAACACAUUAUAGCCCAGGCUGGCCCCAAACACAGUUCAUCUUCCUCCUGAGCAGGGGGAUUAAAGGCAUCUGCGUGCGCGCGUACAUGGGGGGAAGGGUGUGGAUGUGUGUGUGUGGGUGACAGUUUUCAGAGGAAGUCUCCUUCCAGUGUAGUUAGGAAGCACCUUGCCUUGCAGAGCCCUCUCAUCUCUUGGUUUAUUUUUGAUACCUGUUCUCACUGGCCAGAGCUUAACAGUUCACUGAGUUAUGGGGUUAUAAGUUCAUGGUACCACAUGUGAGCCCGUGGAGACCGUCUUUAUCUGCUAGAGCUGGAGGUGACAGGAGUUGUGAGCCCCUGGUGUGUAGUGUGGCCUAAGAAUAACAGGCUCUUAAUGAAUGGAUGGGUGGGUGGAUGGACGGCUAGGUCAUCUCUGGCCUGGCCACCGUCAUUGUGUUUUCUGUUUUUAAUGAGGCUUCCUAUGUGAUCUUGGCUGGCCUAACAUCUAUAGCGCUCCUGCCUCUGAGAAAAGCCUUCCGUUUGCUCAGAAUUCGGCAUCUCUUGAGUAAGCUGCAGUUUAUACUGUGGGUGCAAGGUACCCUCUCUGAUUGGUAUUGUGUGGUCCACACCUCAGCAGAGACAAGUGGAAUGGAGUGGUUGCCUUGAAUCCACCAGUACCCCAGUAAGGCUGGGCAUUGCUUGGCAACAGAAUGCUUCCCUGGUACAAGGCCUGGGUCCAUUCCCAGAUGUGUUAUCUCCCUGCAAUGCAGAGGGGUUUGUACACUUUAAUUUUGAUUCCAGAUUCCAGACACAUAUCACAUUGAAGAAUCAAUUCAUAGAAGAUUGUGUGUCUCUGUUUAUGUGACAGUGUUUUUGACUCAGUGUCUUCUUUCCUAGGCUACAGGGAUGACUUCUUAGGGGGUAGGGGGGGCAGUCGCCCUGGGGACCGGCGAGCAGGCCCUCCAAUGGGGAGUCGCUUUCGAGAUGGCCCUCCUCUGCGUGGCUCCAACAUGGACUUCAGAGAACCCACAGAAGAGGAACGAGCACAGAGACCGCGGCUGCAGCUUAAACCUCGGACAGUGGCAACACCCCUCAAUCAAGUAGCCAACCCCAACUCAGCCAUCUUCGGGGGAGCCAGGCCCAGAGAGGAAGUGGUUCAGAAGGAGCAAGAAUGAGCUUAGGUUGGGAGGGAAUGGGGUGUGGGGGAGCUGGAGCAAGAGCACAGCCUGGUGGCAGGCAGUCGCCCUGCAGGCCCCAUUCCCGCCUGGCACUGUCCUCCUUACAGCGGGAACACAGAGCUUGCGAGUGCAUGUCAGCUGUUAACAAGUGGUUUCUAGUACAUUCUUGGCUUUGCUGUAUCUAUCUAGUGCCUGUUUUGUGCUUUCUUUCUGUUUUCUUUCUCUCCCCUCUCACUCCUGGCCUCUCCCUGCUCCUUCCCACGCCGUGUGGAUGUCGGUCACGUGUGGAAGGUGGGCUGAGGUGCCUCAUCCUUUGCUUUCUUUCUUUCCUUUCCGCGCCCUGGCCACGCUCCGGGUGUGCUGUCCUCUGCUUUUUCUCAGAGCUUCUCUCCAAUCUGCAUGUCGAGUUCUGUGUUGCUGUGGCUUCUGGGAAAGAGCUGGGGCCACUAGCUAGGCGGCUGUGGUGGCCUGUUGGUAGGUAUCCAGCUGGGAUGAGCACACAGAAUUGGAGGCAUCUUGCUUUAAAACAAGGAAACUGCCUUCUGGUCCCGAGAGGCUGCUGUGUUUGGGGUCAGUCACCUGCCCCAAGCAGCCUGUUCAGGUAUAGCAGGCUCCUGUCAAACAGUGAGGCCAGAAGGGUGCAGGGAAUUGGGACAUUCUGCUCUGGUGGCUCUGGGUGCCAGUGGCCAUGUGGCUUUGCUCCUGCUCGCUCUAAGACCAAGUGGAAGCUCAUUCCCUGCUCUUCCUGGGCCGUGGAGGCCCCUUGGGGGUGCAACCCGCUGCAGCUCAAUCCGCUUCCUGCAGCCGAGGCCUGUAGGAAGCAGGGGUGGUGCUGGAGCUGCACCGGGCAGCUGUGCCUGCACUGAGUCUGCGCUCUUUCCCUUGUGUCUGUCUGCUCCAGGGCGCUUAGCCCAAAAGGCUGCUCCCCACCACAGCUCAAGGCCUAGAGUCUGGCACUUUCUCUGAUCGGUUGCACAGCUGUUGAGAACCUCAGUACCUGGGUGUCUAGAAACCUCUAGGCUUGCUGCUUGCUCUGUGGGGCAGACCCUGCUCCCACAGACAGUGCUGAGCACUCACUUGAGAGCAAGGGGAUCAAUCAGGCUUUGCUUUAGCUCGGACAGCUGUGUGUGAACAAAUGGAAAGUGAUUUGGCACCGAGUCUCCAUCUGUUCCAGUCGGAGCAGGUAGGGGUCAGCCAGCCACUAGAGCCUUGGGAAAGAAGGGCUGAGGUGCGCAGCUUGCUCGUUAGCCAGCAGCUUCCUGCCAGCCACCCCUUGGCUCAUGAUUGUCUUUGUCGCAAGGUCUCGGCAAUUUACAGAACUCUCACUCCUUCCCUCGCCUGCCAUCUUCUCUGCUUCUGAGAUAAGAACCAUUUGUGUAACACCAAUACCUAACUUAAGACAGACAUGCAUUGCGUGGUUGUAAUCAAAGCUGAUGCUUUCAGAUGAUCUAAUCCAUCUCCAAUGCGGAAAAGACAGAACAGGCACGUCCAUCCACACUGCUGGGCGCCCAGCUGACUCUGUAAGAAUGGAAUUCCAAACACUUAACACAUUCAGUUCUAUGACAGAAAGUGAGUCUAUGGAUAUGGUAUUUUGUGAAUGAUCUUUUAAAUAAAAGAGAACCUUACAUAACACUUA
rnacentral:lncRNA from 1 species